rnacentral:rRNA from 1 species
GUGAGGAAUAUUGCGCAAUGGAGGCAACUCUGACGCAGCCAUGCCGCGUGCAGGAAGAAGGCGCUACGCGUUGUAAACUGCUUUUAACCGGGAAGAAACCCCAGGACGUGUCCUGGGUUGACGGUACCGGAGGAAUAAGCACCGGCUAACUUCGUGCCAGCAGCCGUGGUAAUACGAAGGGUGCAAGCGUUAUCCGGAUUCAUUGGGUUUAAAGGGUGCGUAGGCGGAGCGUUAAGUCAGUGGUGAAAUCCUGCAGCUUAACUGUAGACUUGCCAUUGAUACUGGCGAUCUUGAGUGCGCUUGAAGUGGGCGGAAUGUGCCGUGUAGCGGUGAAAUGCUUAGAUAUGGCACAGAACACCAAUUGCGAAGGCAGCUCACUAAGGCGAUACUGACGCUGAGGCACGAAAGCGUGGGGAUCGAACAGGAUUAGAUACCCGUGUAGUCC